rnacentral:lncRNA from 1 species
CCUGGGUUUCCUGUGUCCUCACCGCCCGCUUAUCAGCAAGAUGGGGAUGUGGAUGACAGGAGUGCUGGCCACGGAGGGCCUGGUGUGGGUGGCCGUCGGGACGAGGGUAGUGUGGGCGGCCACGGCAGUUGGUGCUACUGCUGGGAGGGGCCGAAGGUGAGGCCCUCCUGGGCUGUGGGUCCCUGUAAGCCACUGCCCCCGUGGGGUGUGCAGUCACCAAGCCGACCUGCUGCCGGGGUUCCGCCCCCUCCCUUUCCCUUCUGCUUCCCCGGCACCUGUGUCCCAAGCCUGAAGCCCUGUCCGUGUCAGAGGUGGCACCUCCCUGGGCACGGGCACUUGGACGCUGGUGCCUCCCCUGCUGCGGACCCCUUUGCUGUGGUCAGGGCCUCCUCCCUGCACUGGCCCCGCCUGUGACCGCAGGCCUGGCGGGGCCCUCAAUGGCCACAGAGGGCACAGGCCGGGGCCAGGAGGGCACCGUCUCCUGGGGCACAGAUAUGCUGGAGUGAGCUAUGGAAUUGUCCAUCAGCAGCGGCAAGCUUUGCUGAGCGCCAGCUGUAUGCAGAGCAAAGGCGGGCCAGCCGGGAAGGGCCAGUGAGGACCUGGAGUCCCCAGCAUCCCCAGGAGCCUGCACCCCUACGCGGGGGACGCCUGGGCAGCUCCUCCCUCCUCCACUCCCCGCCCUCUCCUCCCCUCCUUCCUGCAGUUCCCACAGCUGUUUGGGUGCCUCCCGUGGCGCCUGGUUGAGCUGCAGGGGGAGAUGUGUGUGGACACUGCAACCCUCCCGAAGCUGGGCCUGGAAGAAAUGACUUCCCCAGAACCUUAUCUGGGCCGGAGAGGGGCGUUGGCAGCGGGGGUCUUGCCGCCUUCCGGUCCUCUGCAUGCCAGGCACCACCUGGGGCCGGGCCAGGGCAGGCUGCCUGGACACCAUGGACCUGCCCAGCUGUAGGGGAGGUGUGUCCUGCAGCCCUACCCGAGGCCCAGGCCUGCGUGGCUGAGAGGACUGAGGACGGCUGACCCCCUUGGCACUUCCCCCGGGCCAGAGGGCAGCCUGGCAGCCCUGGACUCCGGGAGGGCCGAGUCUGGGGAGCUGGACGACGUCACAUUCCACUCUUGAUGAUGCCGCCCCAGUCCUACAAUCUGGACAGCAGGAGAAGCUGCCCAUUUCCUCCAUCUCCGGUCCCUGGAGGUUCCCCGGAUCCUUUCAGGGAAGACCAUGGGCCCUAAACGAUCUUCAUAACAAAACUGAGAAGUGGCCUGGCUUCUUCACUGCGUGCCUGUGUGCUGGGAUCUAGCGUGGCCCGACUGGGCAGCUCCUUUCCUUCCCUGACGCUGCUCCAGGGGAAAGAAGGACCAGGGUCAAUCCGGGGUGCCCCAGGUGGAUCAGCGAAUGCCCCUGAAGCCAGGUGCCAGUUGCAUCCCCGUCAGAUGCCCCCACCCCAGUCUCCUGAGCCUCAUUAGUCACCCCUCAUUUUCCUCUGGGGACCCCAGGCCCCAGCUCCUGUCUGGUUAGAGGCUGAAGGGGUCUGAGCGACACCUACCCUAGGGGACCUCCGGAGGGGUCUUGGUGUCCUCUGACUUCUGUCCUCAGAAGGGAGCUCAGAAUGCAGCUGAGGCUUCCCCUGGGGCCCAGGGUGUCUGUGUCCGAGCCACAGCCAGAGUGUGCCCUGGAGAGUCGCUGGGAUGCACGGUGGGCUCUCGUCAUCCUGUCCCCACUCCAGGCUCAGGCUGGAGCCGUGAUGGCACCGCUGCACUCCAACCUGGGCAACAGAGUGAGACCCUGUCUCUAUAAAAUAAAAACAAAAAUAAAGAAGA